ACGCGUUCGUGACGUCGUGUAGAUCACCGUGGUAUAUUCAUACACCCAAAUUGAGUAACGUAUGAGAAAGUUAUGGACGAAUGUUUGGUGUAUGUGCGUUAAAUAACGUCAAUUUGGUUACUUUUUGUUUAGGUGAAAAUAUUACAGAAGAAGAAUGUAACCAACCUAGGGGAGGCUCAGAGACCUAUGAGACGUCGAUGUGAUCAGUUCAAGAAUUGAAAAGGUGUGGUGACUACGAGGAAAUUCAACGGUGUUCUGACAGAAUGGCCAAAAAUUAGGUCUCACCUUUGGGUGUUUCAUCUUAGAAAUUGUAUCUUUAAAGCUUCCGUACUGUGUAAAUGGUUACGUCACUCUCACGUGACGGCCAGCAUGCCCUCCUUCGGGACGGGGUGUGUCAAGUUGGUAUCAGAGCCUAAGUUUCAAUCUUGGACAUCUUGAUAAGUUCUAGUGAAUUCUGUCAGAACUACACCGCCUCGUAGCAAACCACGUAGUUAGAGGAACUUAGUCUCCCUGAUUUAGCUGUUAGGUGAAACUAUUAUUUUGGUGAUUCAGUAUAUUAUCUAAAGGGAUAUUUUAAGAUGGGUUAUGAGUUGAAUUUGAAUCACCUUAUGAAAUGAUGAACCUGAGGGAGCAAAGUGAUGGAUUAACCAAUUGGAAAAGAUGUUUUAGAUUAUGCAAGUCAAAGGAAUCUUCCUUUUGACAGAAGGGUUGAGACGACUACCUGGUUUGAGUUAUGAACUUGUAUCCUGGUGGAAACAGGAGUAUAAUUCGUUGUCACCGAAGGAAACAGCCGAUUGAGAAUUGUUUAAGGACUUGUUUAAAGAAAAGAAUUAUUUCCUUUGGCAUCUUACGAUGGUAGAAAGCAAGAGUUUGCAAAUGUGAGACAAGGAAAGCUGACGAUCAAUGAGUAUUAUAGAAAGUUCUCAGACUUGUCUCGUCCCAUUUGAAUAUUGCUGCUAUUUUGAUUGAAGUGUUAUAUUGUUUUAGGCUGGGUGGCAUAAGGCAGUGGUACUUUGGGUGACCACUAUCCAUUGUAAUUCUUACCAGGAGUAUACAAGAUGUUGUUGAGCCUUAAGGACUCUGAGAUUAUGUUCAGCGAGUGUAAAGAAGAAUGAUAAAGGAAUGGGAAUCAAAAGAGGACGAUAAAGUUAAUGAUUCGUCAUAUCAAGAAUAUAGAAAGAUUCGGAACUUCAAAAGAAGUGAAGCUAAUUCUAGUUCUUUUGGCAAAGGUUUUAAUGCCAUUGACCAGAAGCGAAGUGAUAGAUGUAUUGAUAAUCCCAGAUCUCAGAGACAAGGUGAUUUUAGUAAAAGAAAUGUACCUUUGGGCUGUAGGUACAAUAAUGGACACCUUUGAGAAUGUAGGCGAGAAAGCAGUGGACGCUUUACAAGUGGAUAGAUGGGACAUAGAACUGCAAAUUAUGUCCAAAGCCAACAGAAGCCCUAGCAGUCUUCUUUGCCACAACUGGCGCCGAUCCAGCAAGUUCCUGGAUCUAUUAAUUAUGGUCAGUUAGGUCGUGGUGUACAUGAAAGAAGUAUUUACACUAAUAGAGGUUGUGGGAGACAACAACAAGCCCAGGGAUGUGUUAACUACACAUCACUGCAAGAUACUCAGAAUUAUUUGGUUUUGAUUAGGGGUACGAUAAUUAUUCUUAAUGACUUAGCUAGAGUCUAUUUGUUAAUAAUGUAGAAAUUUUACGUUAUUAUUGUUAUUGCCUAGAAAGUAGUAUUUAAACGCGGUUGAGACGUGUGUAUGUAUUUCCUAAUGAGUGGCAAAAUAGUAAUAUUACACCCUCGAGAGUUGUUGCUUACUUAUCGAGACAACGAUGAUUUAUCAGUAUUGCGGGCUGCAGACCGUAAUAUUAAUAACUUAUUCGUGGAUUCGUUAAGCAAGUAAACCGGUAGGUUAUCCUAUGUUAGUAUCGUACUUAUUCAGAAUGCUCGGUAUUAGUAGAGUAUGUAUUGUUGUUAGCUACUUUUGUUCCAUUAGAUUGUAGAUCUCAAGGUUAUUCUAGAGCAUAUUAUGUUAUAUACAUAAUAUGAUGAGUUGGUUAUGAGCCAUAUAUGCAGCCGAGGGCUGAGUUGAUUAGAAUGAAAGAGUAUGAGCUAUGUUUAUAGCCGAAUGUUGAAUGGAUUAUAUGUUAUUUUCCAUCGGUUUGGAUGACUAGAGAUUACUUUUGUAAGUAUGCAAAGUGAAGAGAGGCAGACCGUUAAUUAUGCUGUGAGAGCAAAUAGAUUAUUAUCAAAAGGCUGCCAAGGAUAUUUAUAUCAUGUGGUGCUAAGUGAUGUCACUCCUAGUAGUGUGGAAGAAGUGGGAGUAGUCAAACAUUUACCUGACGUUUUCCCUGAGAAUUUACCUGGAUGGCUACCAGUUAAAGAUGUAGAGUUCACUAUGGAUUUGUCUCCAGGUACAAACCAUAUAUUGUAGAAUGUUGCCUUUUGAACUAAGAGAAUUGGAAAUUGGUUGAUAAAGGUUUUUAUUCAACCUAGUACAUUACGUUGGGGGAACCCCAGUUUAUUGGUGAGAAAGAAAAUGGACUUUAAAGACUAUCCAUUGAUUAUAGACCAUGGAAUCGGGUAACGAUUGAGAACCGUGAUCCAUGAUGGUGUACUGAUGUUUAAUGAAUCAGCUCAGAAGUAUUUGUGUAUUUUCUAAGUUUGACUUGAGGUCUGGAUAUUAUUAGUUGAAGAUUAUCGGUGAGGAUGCCCGUAUGAUAACUUUCAGGACUCGUUAAGGUCAUUUCAAGUUUUGGUGAUGCCAUUCAGAGUGACGAAUGCAUCUACUACUUUAUGAAUUUGAUGAAUAAAGUAUUCCAAUGAUAUCUAGACCGAUUUGUUAUUGUUGCUAUUGAAAAGAUUGAUAAGACUAGAGCAAAGUAUGCUAAACAUCUUAAAUUGGUAUUGCAAAGAUCGAGGGAACGUCGAUUAUAUGCUAAGUUUAGCAAAUGCCAAUGUUGGAUGAAUCAAGUAGCAUUUUUGAAGAUAUAUUAUAUCUGCUUCAGGUACUCAAGUGAAUUCUUAAAAGGUAGCAGAAAUUGAGAAUUUAGAACAACCACGAAUCGUGAUUGGGAUUCGGAGUUAUCCUAGCUUAACAAGCUAUCAUGGACGGUUCGUGAAAAAAUUUUUCAGUCAUUGCUUUGUCAUUGACGAGAUGGUUGAGAAAAGAGGUUAUGUAUGAGUGGGAAGGAAAUUGUGAGCAAAGGAUUCAACAACUGAAGUAUUUCCUCACUCAUGCACGUAAUCUAGUAUUCCCAGAGAAUAGUAGUAAUCAUAAAUUUUAGUGAUGUUUCUUAAAUGGUAUGGGAUGCAUGUUGAUGCAAAUGUUAGGGUGAUUACAUACGUUUCACGACGAAAGGAACCUCAUGAAAUGAAUUACCCUACUGGUGAUUUGGAAGUCAUGAUUACCAUUCUUGCUGUGAAGUUAUGAAGACAUUAUAUUUGGUAAGAAUGCAAGAUUUUUACGAAUCCAAAAAGUCUCCAAUAUCCAUUACUUGGAAGGAUUUUGAUAUGAGGCACCGAAGGUGGAUUGAAUUGUUUAAUGAACAUGAUUGUACGACCAGGGUGAUCGUAAAAUUGUUCUAGCUGAUGCACUUGGUGAAAAGACGGUGGUAAGAGUUGAUGUCUGGCACGCUUGCCAAGAUUGUCUUCUUGUGGAUUGGAAAUCAACUGAAGUAAAGUUGAGAAUGGAAGUUUGAGAAGAAGUUGUAAUUGCUAAUUUUCAAGUUAAGUCUUUUUAGUAAGGUCGUACUCAAGACUCAAAUGGUUAACGAAGAAAAUUAAGAAUUGACCAAGGCAAAGAAAGAAGGGAAAAAGAAAGAUUGCUGAGUUCGAGGAUAGGAUGGUUAUGAUUGAACUUGAAGUGAUAGUUGAUCAAUGUACCAAGUUAGUACAUUUACUCCAGUGUUGAGUAACAACCACAGUGCAACAGUACUUAUAUGUUUUAUGGAAAAAAGAUUUGGGUUACGGAACUGCUGAGUUUCUUAAGUAUGUUGGUUGCACAGUUUCCAAAGUAACGCCAUAAGGACCAUGAAAUGUGUCGAUUUUUGUUGAUUUGUGGAAGAAAUACUUCUGGAUAGAGAAGAUUCGAUCACGAAAGAGUUUUGGUAGGCCCUAAAACUAUGGAUGAGUCUUCUCAAAUUAUUCAGGUGAUUAAGUUUAACCUGAGAGUAGCCAGGAAUGGCAAAAGAGAUUAAUAGUUGAACAUGUCACUAAUCGAGUGUUUAACGUAGAUGAUCUUAUAAUUUUGAAGUUUUCACUUUAGAAAGUAUGAUACGGCUUGAAAAGGAAAGCAAAUUAAGUCCUAAGUACCUCGGACUUUAUGUGAUCAUCGAAGAGUAGGUGAAGUUGCUUGAUUUACUUCCAGAGUUAUUGUAAAAGCAUGAUGUGUUUCAUGAUUCAACAUUUUUAGAAAUUUCAUCAUGAAAAGAAAUAGUGAGAUUUGGAAAGGAGACAAAAUAAGUCUUAAACACAUCAGACCGUUUUUGACCACUAAAGGAAUCGAUGAAGUUGCAUACAAGUGGUGAUGUCUUCGAAAUUGGUUAAGGUGCAUAAUGUAUUAUAUUUCGAUGUGUUGUCACUAGGUGGCAGAUUCGUCACAUGGAUUUCCGGUGCAACUAUUGAGAAUUAAUCCGGAUUAGACUGGUUGAGGAACCAAGGACGACUUUGGAUUGGAAAAAAGAAUGUAUUGAGAAUUAAGACAGUGUAAUUGGUGAAAGUUUUGUGGAGGAAUCAUUCAGUCGAGGAAGCUACAUGGGUGACAGAAGAUCGAAUGAGGGAUUUGUAUUCUAGAUUGUUCUUCGAUCACUAGGGGUUAUAUGUGGUUGUUUUGAAUUUCGGGACGAAAUUCUAUUAAGGAGGGUAGGUUGUGACAUCCCGUCCCGGAAAUAUCGAAACGUACAUUUGAAAUUACAAAUUUUACCCCUAGUUCGUUACAUUUACGUGUAGUGUUGUGUUGUGUAGUGUUGUAGGACCACACACACUCACACACUCUCUUUUUCUCCCGUGUUUUCCUCUCCCUCUGUCUCUUUUCUGUCAUUUCUCUCUCUCUCUCCCCCAAGCUCCGUUCUUUCUUCUUCUUUCUUCAAAAACGUACGGACGACACCCAAAUCACCCAAACCUUGAUGGAUCGAAGAAACUAAGGACACCAUCGAACUCGUGAAGCUCGUACGAGUGCAACCAUACCAUUUUCAGCUUGUAGAUGUGUUAGUGAGGUCCUAAGGAACCUCGGAGUACUUCGUUGGAGAAGUUUGG